UACGAAGGGGGCUAGCGUUGCUCGGAAUCACUGGGCGUAAAGCGCACGUAGGCGGCUUUCUAAGUCAGGGGUGAAAUCCUGGAGCUCAACUCCAGAACUGCCUUUGAUACUGGAGAGCUUGAGUCCGGAAGAGGUGAGUGGAACUCCGAGUGUAGAGGUGAAAUUCGUAGAUAUUCGCAAGAACACCAGUGGCGAAGGCGGCUCACUGGCCCGAUACUGACGCUGAGGUGCGAAAGCGUGGGGAGCAAACAGG
rnacentral:rRNA from 1 species